rnacentral:tRNA from 2 species
GGGGGUGUAGCUCAGAUGGGAGAGCACCUGCCUUGCAAGCAGGGGGUCAGGAGUUCGAUUCUCCUCAUCUCCACCA